GGAAAGGAGGCAGGGAGACCAGGGAGGAGGCCACUACAUGGUUCAAACGGGAGAUCCUGAGGUCCUGAGCAAGGCUUGAGAAGCCAGGGAGAAACAGGAGGUCAGAGAGGAGCAGGCAGCCCGCUGGGAAAGGGCCGGAAAACACUACAAUGGCAGCGGCAGUGCUGGCCCCUGUGGACAGGAAACUCCAGCAGGAGAUGCUUUCUUAGCUCUCCACCCAGUUGUCCCCAUCGGAAGUUCGGCUCCUCUUUUGGCUCAUAGUGGGACAAGUUGUAUGGCAGAAAUAAGCGGCUUUGCUCCAGACAGACCUGAAAUUAAACCUCGUCCACUCACUGGUCAUGAAAGACAAGGAAAAACUGAGGAACCAUUCCAGAUUAAGAGACUACUAAAGAGAUAUGAAACUAAAUCCAACUUGGAAUCCAGAAUUCUCUUUUCUUGUAAGGAUAAUCAUUGGGACAACUGGUAAAAUGUGAAUAACAUCUGUAGAUUAAUUAACAUCAAUACUAAUGGCCCUGCUUCUGAGGACUGUACCAAGAGGUAAACUGAGCUUCAGGGAAGGGAAAUGCUAGCCCCACAUCACCCGGUCAGUGAGUGGUGGAGUUGGGAUCACAACCCAUGUCUUGUCUCAGUCCAGUGACCUAAGUGCUCUUACUCAAGACAC